rnacentral:rRNA from 1 species
AUUGGACGCUGGCGGCAGGCUUAACACAUGCAAGUCGAGCGGAGAUGAGGUGCUUGCACCUUAUCUUAGCGGCGGACGGGUGAGUAAUGCUUAGGAAUCUGCCUAUUAGUGGGGGACAACAUUCCGAAAGGAAUGCUAAUACCGCAUACGUCCUACGGGAGAAAGCAGGGGAUCUUCGGACCUUGCGCUAAUAGAUGAGCCUAAGUCGGAUUAGGUAGUGGGUGGGGUAAAGGCCUACCCAGGCGACGAUCUGUAGCGGGUCUGAGAGGAGGAGCCGCCCCACUGGGACUGAGACCCGGCCCAGACUCCUACGGGAGGCAGCAGUGUGGAAGAUUGGACAAUGGGGGAAACCCUGAUCCAGCCAUGCCGCGUGUGUGAAGACGGCCUUAUGGUUGUAAGCACUUUAAGCGAGGAGGAGGCUACUGAGACUAAUACUCUUGGAUGGUGGACGUUACUCGCAGAAUAAGCACCGGCUAACUCUGUGCCAGCCGCCGCUGUAA